CCUACUAUCAAAAGCACUUUAAAAGUCUUAUAUAAGUGUUAUAAUGAAGACAACACAUGAUGUGUCUAUAUUAGCUUACUAUCAAAAUGACUUUAUUAGCCUACUAUCAAAAUGACUUUAAAAAAACUUAUAUAAGUGUUAUAAUGAAGGCAACACAUGAUGUAAGUGUCUGUAUUAGCCUACUAUCAAAAUGAAUUUAAAAGUCUUAUAUAAGUGUUAUAAUGAAGGCAACACAUGAUGUGUCUUUAUUAGCCUACUAUCAAAAUGACUUUAAAAGUCUUAUAUAAGUGUUACCUGCACAUUACCUACCUUCUCUGUAUCCUGGAGUCAAACUGGUGCCUCCUUCUUUCACCCAGUCAACAUAUCUUUACCUGCACAUUACCUACCUUCUCUGUAUCCUGGAGUCAAACUGGUGCCUCCUUCUUUCACCCAGUCAACAUAUCUUUACCUGCACAUUACCUACCUUCUCUGUAUCCUGGAGUCCAACUGGUGCCUCCUUCUUUCACCCAGUCAACAUAUCUUUACCCGCACAUUACCUACCUUCUCUGCAUCGUGUGGUCACGCUGGUGCUUCCUGCUUUUAAGCGGCCAUCUUGAGACGGCAGCAGCGUAGCGGUUCUUUGAAGGCUUGUAAAAUCAAAACCGGAGCAGUUAGAAAAACUCUUUGCGCAACUUUUAAUCAGAAGUCUUCAAUCUCUUUCCUGUGCGAGUUUGAAGCCGACACAACAAACGCGCUCAGAGGAGAUAAUGUUUGAAAAAAGGUGACGGAUUUUUACAAAACUUUUGUUUUGAAGGGGUAAUUGCCAACUUCCUGUUGAUUUUUGCUGGACGAUGUCAAUCAAUGAAAUGUAGGUCUAAGUGAGACCUACAUAGAGGUUUUUGUUUCAUGUCUCUCCGACAUUCUUACCGGAAGUUACAAGCAGUUUUGUCUGUUUUCUUCCCAAGAGCAGUUUUGUCAGUGUUUUAUUCCAAGGGGGGGCUAGAGCGCAAUUUUGAGUUUUGGGUUGUUUUUUUUUAUUAUUAGAUCGCAAUUUUCACCAGUCCUGAUGUUUGUGUGCAGUUUGGUGAGUUUUGAAGCAUAUUAAGGGGGUCAAAUCACAGCUCAUAGAGGCAUAAAGGAAAUUUUUUUAGGAAACUUUUGUUUUGAAGGGGUUUUUGCCAACUUCUUGUUAAUUUUUGCUGAAGGAUGUAAGUGUAUGAAAUGUAGGUCUACGUCAGAUCUACAUAGAGGUUUUUGUUUCAUUUCUCUACGACAUUCCUAACGGAAGUUACAAGCAGUUUUGUCUGUGUUUUUUCCUAGGGGGCGCUUGAGCGCAAUUUUGAGUUUUGUUUUUUUGAUUAGAUGGCAAUUUUCGCCAGUCCUGAUGUUUGUAAAAUUUCACUGAGUUUUGAAGCAUGUUAAGGGGGUCAAAUUACAGCUCAAUAAAAUAAUAAAACCUUAGAAAUACAGUAGGGUCCUUUGUCCCAAUGGGACAUUCGGUCCCUAACAUUGUGGCUUACCACCAUGCAUUAGAUUUGUAUUUCUUUUAAUGGUUUUAUCAUCUUUGAACUUGAAAUUUUUGUCUAGAUCGAGGAAAAGAGGUUCGACCAUUGUUGAACUCCCAGGACCUGUAAUGAAGUGUGUGUGGAUUCUUGGCUUGAAACCUGUGGCACAGGGUGCAAUUGAAGUCUAUUUCUGGUCAUGCCGUCCCCUGCUGGGCCGAGGGACCACGCGGCUGCAUAGCUGGAUCAAAAGAGACGUCGGUGAAGCUUUGCUGAAUUAAAAGUUGCUUUAUUACAAGUGAGCGUCAUUCAAACAGGUCUGCAGUACUCAUAGGAAUCUUAGUCGAAAAUGGAGAAUUCCUGCCUUGGAGAAGCCGAACCAUCAGUUUAUCUUUUCCUUCUUUGCCUGUCUGGGUGUACGCUAAGUCUAAACAGCGCCCCCUGACCAUAAAAGUCGAUGUUUGUGUGUAAAGUGUCUGGAAAACAACUGCUUUAAGUCAUAACUUAAAGGUUGGUGUUUGAACUAGACAGGUAGUCUCUUCUCCAGGAUAGGGCUAUCACUUUUGCAUUCCGAAGUCCCAAUUAGAGCCUCGUUCCUACGAGAAGUGAUCCAAUACACCAAACUAAGGGGCCUUAUCUUAUCAUGCCACUAUUUACGUAAACGUGGUGGUUUGCUUUUUCCAAGAUGAGUAUGAACAUUCCCCAUAUGUAGAACAUAAUGACUUCAUUAAUACGCUUCACAAUAAUCUUUUUCCAACUGUUUAAAUGCAUAUAAGGCACAACAAAAAACAUUUUCCAGUAUGGAAAAUAGUGUCUGAAGAGACUGGAAUAGUGAUAGUGAUCAUCUAUAUCAGGGGUCAGCAACCUUUUUGAAAGCAAGAGCUACUUCUUGGGUACUGAUUAAUGCCAAGGGCUACCAGUUUGAUACACACUUAAAUAAAUUGCCAGAAAUAGCCAAUUUGCUCAAUUUACCUUUAAUAAAUACAUCUAUAUAUAUAUAAAAAAAAUGGGUAUUUCUGUCUGUCAUUCCGUCGUAGAUUUCUUUUUCCUUUUACGGAAGGUUUUUGUAGAGAAUAAAUGAUGAAAAAAAACACUUAAUUGAACGGUUUAAAAGAGGAGAAAACACGGAAAAAAAAGAAAAUGACAUUUUGAAACAUAGUUUAUCUUCAAUUUUGACUCUUUAUAAUUCAAAAUUCAACCCAAAAAAUGAAGAGAAAAACUAGCUAAUUUGAAUCUUUUUGAAAAAAAAAAAAAAAAAAAUAGAAUUUAUUGAACAUCAUUAGUAAUUUUUUCCUGAUUAAGAUUAAUUUUAGAAUUUUGAUGACAUGUUUUAAAUAGGUUAAAAUCCAAUCUGCACUUUGUUAGAAUAUAUAACAAAUUGGACCAAGCUAUAUUUCUAACAAAGACAAAUCAUUAUUUCUUCUAGAUUUUCCAGAACAAAAAUUUGUAAAGAAAUUCAAAAGACUUUGAAAUAAGAUUUAAAUUUGAUUCUACAGAUUUUCUAGAUUUGCCAGAAUAAUUUUUUGGGGGAAUUUUAAUCGUAAUAAGUUUGAAGAAAUAGUUCACAAAUA